rnacentral:rRNA from 1 species
GACGAACGCUGGCGGCGUGCUUAACACAUGCAAGUCGAACGGUAAGGCCCUUCGGGGUACACGAGUGGCGAACGGGUGAGUAACACGUGGGUGAUCUGCCCUGCACUUCGGGAUAAGCCUGGGAAACUGGGUCUAAUACCGGAUAGGACUCCGGACUGCAUGGUCUGGGGUGGAAAGCUUUUGCGGUGUGGGAUGGGCCCGCGGCCUAUCAGCUUGUUGGUGGGGUGAUGGCCUACCAAGGCGACGACGGGUAGCCGGCCUGAGAGGGUGACCGGCCACACUGGGGCUGAGAUACGGCCCAGACUCCUACGGGAGGCAGCAGUGGGGAAUAUUGCACAAUGGGCGCAAGCCUGAUGCAGCGACGCCGCGUGAGGGAUGACGGCCUUCGGGUUGUAAACCUCUUUCAGCACAGACGAAGCGCAAGUGACGGUAUGUGCAGAAGAAGGACCGGCCAACUACGUGCCAGCAGCCGCGGUAACAC